CAAUAGCGUAUAUUAAAGUUGUUGCAGUUAAAAAGCUCGUAGUUGGAUCUGUGGUGUGCGGCGGGCUCCGGGCACUUGUUGUCUGAGUAGCUCGCCGCUGCCAUCCUUGGGUGGAACCUGUGUGGCAUUAGGUUGUCGUGCAGGGGAUGCCCAUCGUUUACUGUGAAAAAAUUAGAGUGUUCAAAGCAGGCUUAUGCCGUUGAAUAUAUUAGCAUGGAAUAAUGAGAUAGGACUUUUUCGCUAUUUUGUUGGUUUGCGCGAAGAGGUAAUGAUUAAUAGGGACAGUUGGGGGUAUUCGUAUUCCAUUGUCAGAGGUGAAAUUCUUGGAUUUUUGGAAGACGAACUACUGCGAAAGCAUUUACCAAGGAUGUUUUCAUUAA
rnacentral:rRNA from 1 species